CUGCGUUUCAUAUGGUUCCUUUAAAAUAAUUUCGUUGCUAACUUUCCAACGAAUUUUAUGUACCAUUUGGAUUAGGAGUGCCUGUAUGUUAAAUUGAUUGACCAGUACUGUAUUUUAACUUGUCAAUAACUCUAAAACCCAAAAAAGAGCGGAGCAUGAUGUAACUUCCGAUAAAUUAAAUUUGUCCAGGGAGUUUAAAAAUUCAAACGACCUUGCAGUGUAAAAACGGAUGAGGUACCUAUCUAGUAUGCGGCAUUCUCCACGGUGGCAAGUAGCAAACGCUGUGUAUACGGAAUUCAAUGCCAAAGGAAAAAUCGCCCAAUUUGUGAAAUCGGGCACUAUAGGAAGGACAAAGAAACCUUAUCCCACGACUUGGAUGAACCAAGCUGCAUCGCUUCUAGGGUAAACUCAUGAAGUUAGAUCUCCAUCGGUCACUUUUUUCCAGAUGACAUUCUCUGUGUUUUUCGCAGUAACACCGUGGAGGGUGACGAUUGAUGCAGUUGCAGCUCUGCCUAGUGAAAUGCGCGCUCCAACAUUUGUAUUGCGAGCGGAACAAAAAAUAUGAUUGUAUGCAAAUUUAUUGUCAUGCUGGCACCAAUCAGCCUUUGUAAUAUUGUGAAAAAUAUUCUGUGAGAUUAUC